GUGGGGAAUAUUGGACAAUGGGCGCAAGCCUGAUCCAGCCAUGCCGCGUGGGUGAAGAAGGCCUUCGGGUUGUAAAGCCCUUUUGUCCGGGAAGAAAGCGCCCUGGUGAAUAGCCGGGGUGGAUGACGGUACCGGAAGAAUAAGCACCGGCUAACUUCGUGCCAGCAGCCGCGGUAAUACGAAGGGUGCAAGCGUUACUCGGAAUUACUGGGCGUAAAGCGUGCGUAGGCGGUUCGUUAAGUCAGAUGUGAAAGCCCCGGGCUCAACCUGGGAAUUGCAUUUGAUACUGGCGGGCUAGAGUACGGUAGAGGGUGGUGGAAUUCCCGGUGUAGCAGUGAAAUGCGUAGAGAUCGGGAGGAACAUCCGUGGCGAAGGCGGCCACCUGGACCAGUACUGACGCUGAGGCACGAAAGCGUGGGGAGCAAACAGGAUUAGAUACCCUAGUAGUCC
rnacentral:rRNA from 1 species